rnacentral:rRNA from 1 species
GAUGAACGCUAGCGGCAGGCUUAAUACAUGCAAGUCGUGGGGCAGCAGGUCUGUAGCAAUACAGAUGCUGGCGACCGGCAAACGGGUGCGGAACACGUACACAACCUUCCUUUAAGUGGGGAGUAGCCCAGAGAAAUUUGGAUUAAUACCCCGUAACAUAAUGAUGUGGCAUCACAUUAUUAUUAUAGCUACGGCGCUUAUUGAUGGGUGUGCGGCUGAUUAGAUAGUUGGCGGGGUAACGGCCCACCAAGUCUACGAUCAGUAGCUGAUGUGAGAGCAUGAUCAGCCACACGGGCACUGAGACACGGGCCCGACUCCUACGGGAGGCAGCAGUAAGGAAUAUUGGUCAAUGGACGCAAGUCUGAACCAGCCAUGCCGCGUGAAGGAUUAAGGUCCUCUGGAUUGUAAACUUCUUUUAUCUGGGACGAAAAAAGGCUAUUCUUAGUCACUUGACGGUACCAGAUGAAUAAGCACCGGCUAACUCCGUGCCAGCCGCCGCGGUAAAAC